GUGAUCUUCAGAGACACCCGUUAAAACUGGAACGAUACAAAGUCGAUUAGCAUGGCACUGUGCAAGGAUGGAACACAAAACAAGCAAAAUGUUCUAAUAGUCC
rnacentral:snRNA from 1 species